rnacentral:rRNA from 1 species
UCUUUCGGGAUAGGUAGUAGUUAAGGUGAUGGCUUAACUAGCUUAAAAUUCUCGUAGUCGAAGCUGAAAGGUUGAUCGACCACAUUGGGUCUGAAAAAACCCCAAUGCAAGUUAGUACAGCAGUGAGGAAUCUUGGUCAAUGGCCUAACGGCUGAACUGGCAACUUGGAGAAGUGGCAAGUCUUAUUUUUGAUUAUAAUUUUAGAUAAUCUAUAAGAUUGUAUUAAAAUUGAAUAAAGCUUUGUUUAUAUAUUGAUAAUGACAAUAUAUAUAUCGUGUCUUGACUAAUUACGUGCCAGCAGUCGCGGUAAUACGUAAGAGACUAGUGUUAUUCAUCUUAAUUAGGUUUAAAGGGUACCUAGACGGUCAAUAUAGCUUCUAGAAUGUUAGUACUUGACUAGAGUUUGAUGUAAGGGGGCAGUACUUGAGGAGGAGAGAUGAAAUUCUAUUAUACCAAAGGGACUCGGUAAAGGCGAAGGCAGCCCUUUAUGUAAAAACUGACGUUGAAGGACGAAGGCACAGAGCACAAACAGGAUUAGAUACCCAAGUAGUCUUUGCAGUAAAUGAUGAAUGCCAUAGGUUUAGAUUAA